rnacentral:ncRNA from 1 species
AACAUAGAGGAGCGGAUCGGAAAAGUACCCGUCGAGAUGGGCUUAAAUGCUUGACGGCAAAAGGCUGAUUUGCCGAAGUGAUCGCCGCGCGAGCCACGUUGCGGUCGCUGGGCUGUAAGGGAAUACCUUGCGGACUGUCACAAGAAAUUGUGGAGCGCUACGGUUU